rnacentral:rRNA from 1 species
GAUGAACGCUGGCGGCGUGCCUAAUACAUGCAAGUCGAGCGAACAGACGAGGAGCUUGCUCCUCUGACGUUAGCGGCGGACGGGUGAGUAACACGUGGAUAACCUACCUAUAUGACUGGGAUAACUUCGGGAAACCGGAGCUAAUACCGGAUAAUAUAUUGAACCGCAUGGUUCAAUAGUGAAAGACGGUUUUGCUGUCACUUAUAGAUGGAUCCGCGCCGCAUUAGCUAGUUGGUAAGGUAACGGCUUACCAAGGCGACGAUGCGUAGCCGACCUGAGAGGGGGAUCGGCCACACUGGAACUGAGCCGCCGUCCAGACUCCUACGGGAGGCAGCAGUAGGGAAUCUUCCGCAAUGGGCGAAAGCCUGACGGAGCAACGCCGCGUGAGUGAUGAAGGUCUUCGGAUCGUAAAACUCUGUUAUGAGGAAAGAACAAAUGUGUAAGUAACUAUGCACGUCUUGACGGUACCUAAUCAGAAAGCAACGGCUAACUACGUG